ensembl:lncRNA
GUGGGGGGCACGGCCUGGCCCCGGGGCGGCCAUCCGGUGGGGCAGGUGCGGCCUCAGCCCUGGGAGGGAGGGAGGGCAGGCAGGCCCGUUGCUAAUAGUGCUGGGGCAGGAGGGGGGUGGGGCGCGCACUGCGGGGAGUCCCGUCUCCAGGGUUCCGGGUGCGGAUGUGGCUGGCUAGGAGGUCCCGCCCGUCGCGCCCCAGGCAGGCCCAGGCUCAGCAAAGCAGGCACGUGUCCCCUCAACCUCCGGCCUGAGACUAGGCUAAGAUGCUGGGAAGCUCCCAAGGUGUAACUCGGCCUUUGGGCUGACCGCGCCCUUGAGCCACGCUUUUUGGGCCUCGGCUUUUGCAGUCUGUAAAAAAUAACCCUAGUGACAGCUACCAUUUUUCAGAACCACGUGCCAAACAUAGUGUUAAACGUUUAACGUACUUUUUCUCAAGCCACGCGACAAUUCCAUUUUGCUGAUGAGCAAGGUGAGACGCAGAGAGGUUGCGACUUGCCCGAAGUCACACAGCUAGCAAGAUACCUAGGCGGGACUCCAGGUUCUUUACGGGUGGUCUUGUUUUAGCAAGAGGUCUGGAGUGGUGCACCUAUAUAGGUCGAUCGCACAGGGCAUUCACUAGUUCCGUGAGCCCCUUGGUGGCGUCUCGCUGCACGUGUUCUAGUCUUGGAGCUGGGCACGUGUAUCUUGGCGCACUCCCUCGUGCCAAAGCCUGGGGACAGAGGCAUAGCCUAGCGCACUGGUGCCCAGGUGCGCCCUUCCCGGUUAGGACCCGGCAGAGUCAUAUGGUCUGAGCCGCGGGCUGAGUGGAGCGGGGGCGGGGAACUCAGAGUAGAGUCCACGCGGGCCGAGGCGCCUGGGAGGCCGCAAUCCCGGCGCCUGCAGCCGGCGAGGCUCGGGGUGACGCGAGGGGGCCCAGCUACCGUGACCUCCUCCGCGGUUUCCAUGGAGACGCUUGCCUCUUGAGGGGGGAGAGCCUACAAAUUGCCGCCCCCCCGAAUCUCUCCAGGCGCGCACGCAGCCCGGCGCGGGCCGGGGCACAGGGCGCAGGCGGGAGGUCGCAUCUGCAGCUUUGGCGCAAUGAAUCAGGCGCGGCCGCCGCCGCCGCUGCGGAGCGCGUCUGGCAUCCGGAGUCUCCCGGGAUCGAAAAUAAUUUGGGCAAAGCGGUGGGAGGGUUUCUCUGCAGCUGCCCCCACUGGGAAUGGUGUGUUCAGAACAUGGACUUAAAGAGAAGCCUGAGGCUCAGAAAUGUGUAAGCUGAGCCCAAAGUCACACAGCAAGUCUGGCGCAUCAGCAGGCUGAGCCCUGGGGAUUGUGACUCGGGGCCUGCUGGAUCCAGUGAUGUGGACUAGAGGCAGUGCUAGGCUGCGCAGGUGGCCUGGUUCAUCUCUGCACGGAGCAAACCCACUCCUCUAAGC